CUCAGCCUACGGGGGGCAGCAGUGGGGAAUAUUGGGCAAUGGGCGCAAGCCUGACCCAGCAACGCCGCGUGAAGGAAGAAGGCUUUCGGGUUGUAAACUUCUUUUCUCAGGGACGAAGCAAGUGACGGUACCUGAGGAAUAAGCCACGGCUAACUACGUGCCAGCAGCCGCGGUAAUACGUAGGUGGCAAGCGUUAUCCGGAUUUACUGGGUGUAAAGGGCGUGUAGGCGGGGACGCAAGGCAGAUGUGAAAAC
rnacentral:rRNA from 1 species